rnacentral:siRNA from 1 species
ACACGUAUCAUCAAAGUAGAGUGU